AUUGAACGCUGGCGGCGUGCUUAACACAUGCAAGUCGAUCGGUAACGCGGGGGCAACCCUGGCGACGAGAGGCGGACGGGUGAGGAACGCUUGGGAAUCUGCCUAUCAGCGGGGGACAACCCGGGGAAACUCGGGCUAAUACCGCAUACGCUCUACGGAGGAAAGCCGGGGACCGCAAGGCCUGGCACUGAUAGAUGAGCCCAAGUCGGAUUAGCUAGUUGGCGGGGUAACGGCCCACAAAGGCGACGAUCCGUAGCUGGUCUGAGAGGACGAUCAGCCACACUGGGGCUGAGACACGGCCCAGACUCCUACGGGAGGCAGCAGUGGGGAAUAUUGGACAAUGGGGGAAACCCUGAUCCAGCGACGCCGCGUGGGUGAAGAAGGCCUGCGGGUUGUAAAGCCCUUUCGGUAGGGACGAAAGCUCUCGACCUAACACGUCGGGAGGUUGACUUAACCUACAAAAGAAGCACCGGCUAACUCUGUGCCAGCCGCCGCAGUAAUAC
rnacentral:rRNA from 1 species